UACGGGGGGGGCAAGCGUUGUUCGGAAUUACUGGGCGUAAAGGCUCGUAGGCGGCCAACUAAGUCGGAUGUGAAAUCCCCAGGCUCAACUUGGGAACUGCAUCCGAUACUGGAUGGCUUGAGUUCGGGAGAGGGAUGCGGAAUUCCAGGUGUAGCGGUGAAAUGCGUAGAUAUAGGAAGGAACACCAGUGGCGAAGGCGACCACCUGGACUGAUACUGACACUGAGGUGCGAAAGCGUGGGGAGCAAACAGGAUUGAGAUACC
rnacentral:rRNA from 1 species